rnacentral:rRNA from 1 species
GGCGACGGGUGAGUAACCGUGGGCAAUCUGCCCUUCACUCUGGGACAAGCCCUGGAAACGGGGUCUAAUACCGGAUAACACUCUCCUCCUCCUGGGGGUGGGUUAAAAGCUCCGGCGGUGAAGGAUGAGCCCGCGGCCUAUCAGCUUGUUGGUGGGGUAAUGGCCUACCAAGGCGACGACGGGUAGCCGGCCUGAGAGGGCGACCGGCCACACUGGGACUGAGACACGGCCCAGACUCCUACGGGAGGCAGCAGUGGGGAAUAUUGCACAAUGGGCGAAAGCCUGAUGCAGCGACGCCGCGUGAGGGAUGACGGCCUUCGGGUUGUAAACCUCUUUCAGCAGGGAAGAAGCGCAAGUGACGGUACCUGCAGAAGAAGCACCGGCUAACUACGUGCCAGCAGCC